rnacentral:rRNA from 1 species
CCGGCGCCAGAUCUUUCAAGUGUCUGACUUAUCAGCUUGUUGUUAGGUUAUGUUCCUAACAAGGCUUCAACGGGUAACGGGGUAUCAGGGUCCGAUACCGGAGAGGGAGCCUGAGAAACGGCUACCACAUCCAAGGAAGGCAGCAGGCGCGCAAAUUACCCACUCCUAGCACAGGGAGGUAGUGACGAAAAAUAACGAUGCGAGGGCUUAUAGCUUCUCGUAAUCGGAAUGGGUACACUUUAAAUCCUUUAACGAGGAUCUAUUGGAGGGCAAGUCUGGUGCCAGCAGCCGCGGUAAUUCCAGCUCCAAUAGCGUAUAUUAAAGUUGCUGCGGUUAAAAAGCUCGUAGUUGGAUCUGGGCUUCUGAAUGGAUGGUGCGCUUUUCGGUGCUACUGUCCGUUUGGUGCCACAAGCCGGCCAUGUAGUGCAUGCCCUUCAUUGGGUGUGCAUUGCGACCGGAACGUUUACUUUGAAAAAAUUAGAGUGCUCAAAGCAGGCGUACGGCCUUGCAUAAUGGUGCAUGGAAUAAUGGAAUAGGACCUCGGUUCUAUUUUGUUGGUUUUCGGAACUCGAGGUAAUGAUUAAUAGGAACAGACGGGGGCAUUCGUAUUGCGGCGUUAGAGGGUGAAAUUCUUGGAUCGUCGCAAGACGAACUACUGCGAAUA